rnacentral:rRNA from 1 species
UAGGGAAUAUUGGACAAUGGGGGAAACCCUGAUCCAGCCAUGCCGCGUGCAGGACGAAGGCCCUCUGGGUUGUAAACUGCUUUUCUCUGGGGAUAAACCUAUACUAUAUGUAUAGCUGAAGGUACCAGGGGAAUAAGCACCGGCUAACUCCGUGCCAGCAGCCGCGGUAAUACGGAGGGUGCAAGCGUUGUCCGGAUUCAUUGGGUUUAAAGGGUGCGUAGGCGGUCUUGUAAGUCAGUGGUGAAAUCUCAGAGCUCAACUCUGAAUGUGCCAAUGAUACUGCAGGACUUGAGAGCAGUCGAGGUAGCUGGAAUGUGUAGUGUAGCGGUGAAAUGCAUAGAGAUUACACAGAACACCAAUUGCGAAGGCAAGUUACUAGACUGUUUCAGACGCUGAUGCACGAAAGUGUGGGUAGCGAACAG